rnacentral:lncRNA from 1 species
UGAAGUAAAAGGAUGGCAUUAAUGCCUUGACACCACUACUGCCCUGCAGAAUUGCCUAGAACACCCGUUUAAACUGAAAUUGAAAUUGAAGUUGAAACAGGCAUCACUUGUUGACUUCUAGAUCAAAUACGAGUUCAACCUUAUCCUGAUUUUAUAUUCUUAACCCACUAUUACAGUGAAACCAACAUUACAUCUACAACUAACAACCACCAAUUAACAGCCCUAAGCAGUCCGAUUUAAGUACAAUUUCACAGUACAAAAUAGUAGAAGUAAUCCUAAUUAGACAGUCCUAGCUUGAUACAAACCAAACACAAUAAAGCUAACAAUUACAAAUCAUAAAAUGAUGAAGUCAAUAAGGCCAAAUCCUGAAGCUGAAGGCGUAAACAAAAUGGACUAAACAUAGUAGAAAAUUCAGCUAGCAUCAGAAGGCGAUUGUAUUUCCGUUUCAUCAUAGAUUACAUCAAAAUAAAAUUCGAGUGUGUACCUGGAAUUACAAUGAGAUGGAGGGAGAAGUUAGUGACAGAAUAGCAGGCAGCAGUAGUUUUAGAAUUUAAAACGAGAACCAAUCCAACUUCAAUUCAGAAAUAGAUCAGGAGUCCAAGAGUGUUUAGAAAUCAACAAAGCUAACAAACCAAUCUCAAAACCAAUUUGAAACGACCCAAAAUCACUCGAAACCCCACCAGUGAACUUCUGACAUUUUUACCACCAGAAAUUGAACUAGAUAAGUGUAAAUCAAUAGCUAAACAGUAAAACUCAACUAGAACUUAGAUAGAGCAGUAUUUUUUUGAUUUUUUGGAGAUUUUCUAUUAUUUUUGUAGUUUGGAGUUUGAAAUUAAAAUCAUAGAUCUGAAAAUUGAAGAACACACUUUGGGGGGGAUUUCUGACGCUCCCAACUUGUUAAACAAGGCAGGUUGA